UCCCUGGAGGACUAGUGGUUAGGCUUCAGCUGUCUCACCGCCGUAGCCCGGGUUUGAUUCCUGGCCAGGGAA
rnacentral:tRNA from 1 species